GACGUAGGGCGCGAGCGUUGUCCGGAUUUAUUGGGCGUAAAGAGCUCGUAGGCGGCUUGUCGCGUCGACUGUGAAAACCCGCAGCUUAACUGCGGGACUGCAGUCGAUACGGGCAGGCUAGAGUUCGGUAGGGGAGACUGGAAUUCCUGGUGUAGCGGUGAAAUGCGCAGAUAUCAGGAGGAACACCGGUGGCGAAGGCGGGUCUCUGGGCCGAUACUGACGCUGAGGAGCGAAAGCGUGGGGAGCGAACAGG
rnacentral:rRNA from 1 species